AUAUAGUCGCGUGAAUCAUCGAAUCUUUGAACGCACCUUGCACUUUAGGAGUCAAUUCUAAAGUAUACCUGUUUGAGUAUCAUUUACAUAUAUCCAAUUUUAUUGGGAAUUGGGAAUUGAGAGUUCAGGGAAUUAUUGCCAGUCUCUUUAAAUGUAGAGGGUUUCAAGGAUAAGCGCGUCUUUAUCUUGAAUGAGGAUAUUUACUCUUGUAGUAAAGCAAUCAUCAAAGGAAAGAAAAGCGAUAUUCAUCAAAUUGAGCUCUAUAAGCGGUUGUUUGUUAGGUUGUUAUUUACUUACAAGAAUAAUAAUAACCAGACAUCACCAAACGUACAAUUGUGAUCUCAAAUCAGGCAAGACUACCCGCUGAACUUAAGCAUAUCAAUAAGCGGAGG
rnacentral:rRNA from 1 species